CGAGCAGAGGCGGACCCAAAUGGUACUUCCUGUCCCUUUCCGAAACGCCUCCCUCCUCUUCACCCCCACUUCUGCCUACAGAAGGCAACUCAAAUAGCACUUUUUUCCACGAAAUGUUCUCUGCGGCCUCUGCCCUCCUUCCUCUUCCACAUGGACGGUGUGCACUGCGUGGGGGCCUGGGCUUAGGCAGUGUGGCCAGGAAGCUUCUCGGCGGGCGGGCAGCCCUUUCUGCCGCAGCGCACCCAACCCUGGGAAGCUGGCUGCAUGGCAGUCGGGCCUUCAGGGCCGCCUCUCACUGCCUGGGGCGGGGGGGGGGGGGGGGGGGGUGACAGGGCCCUUCGUGGGCAGGAGCUUCUCCGUCCACCCAAUAUGACACAAUGGCAAGUCCCACCUCCCUCCGAAAGUGAUAAUGCACAUUUUCCACCGAAAAGGCCACUCUUGGGUAUGGUUCAGAAAAAUGUACCCUGUGGGCUGAUCACAAACACUGCAAUAGGGUGGACUUUCCAGAUACCUCGCCUGCAUGGAGAUGAGCUAAUAGCCACUCUGAGCUUUCCCCUCUCCCACCCCUCCGGCGUGCUGUCCACUCUCAUUUUUCAGAAACAUGCAUGUUUUCACUGAACAACAGCAAAAAACCCCAAAAGACCAAAACAAAAAUGAAAAAACGCACUUCCUAUCGCCAUUGCUGCAGGAACCUGCCACCUGCUCAAGUGCUCACAUUCCCUUGCCUCCUCGGUCUCUGACCACACGGCUUCCUAUGUCAAGGGCAUGUCCGCAUCGCUGCCCGCUGCUGACACUGUUUGUGUUUCUCACUCCCUGUGCCAUACUAUCUCCUUCUCAAUGGAGAGAAUACACUUCUCUGGUGUUCAGGAACACCCCCCACCCGACUUGAGUUUUGGGGGCAACAGUAUGGUGCCAUGGGGCCAGCCCAGUCCCACCCCGCCUCUCUGGGGGUCCUCAGGUGAGUCUCGCCCUUUCUCUCAUCCCUGAAGGCCACCCACUGCCUCACUUCCAACUUCACGAGUCUAGAACACAUCCCUCUGACUCUCUUUCUAGGGCCACCCCUCGCUCCAACCCCCCAGCCUCCCACUCCCCCGACGUCCUGGACACGUCCCCUCCUGGGCACGCCUCUCCGACCAGACCAGCUGAGGGGAGGUGCCUGUGCUGGCCUCCUGCAGCUCCCAAGCACUGCCUUCCCCGAUCACCCGGCUGCCCCAGUUACUAGAUCUGGCCGCCCCACUCCUGGGGUCAUCUGGUAACGUUUGACUGCCAAUAGCCAUUUCCAUCUCUAACCAGACCUUAGCUUUUUCUUUUCUUUUUUUUUUUUUUUUUAAUUGUCUUUCCCCUAAAAGUGUGAUCUGGGGAGAAGAAUAAUUCCAGGUACCCUUUUCCAGAGAAUCGGAAGGCAGUAAGCUGACGGGACCAGAACUGAGAUCAGGAGGAGUGGCCCCAGACCCCGUGCUCAGCCUAUCAGAUGGACACUCUCAAUCUAGGAAGGGACAAAAAGGAGAGCUCGAGGUGGUUCCAGCUCGGCCACCAGGAGGUGGGAAGGUGGGAAGAUGGCUUUGGCCGGAAGGUCGUCCUGUGUCCUGGUGCCCUCUGGGUCCUGCCCAUUCACCAGUCUGGCCCCUGGCUGUCAACCAGUUCUGUGUGUCCCUGUCCCCAGCGCCCUUCCAACAUGGUUCUUUUAAGCUCGGCCAGAACUGGGUCGCUUGCUUGCUACCAAGCUCCCCGACGGGCCCAUCAAGUGUCACGGGUACACGGGACUGGUGCUUCCCGACUUCCAGUCCUCCAAGGAGCUAUUUGCACGGCCAUGCCCCCACGCCCUGCCCUGCUCCUGAAGCCUAGAAGCUCCAGGCUGCAGAUCUGUAUAAACACCCUGGGCCAAAGGACAGUUAGAGGAUCCCUUGGGCCCCAAUAUCCUAUAAGGCCAUGGUCAUGAUAAAGUGCCUAAGAUAAAAGGCUGAACCACGCACUUCUGAAGCAAUUAUUUCCAGCCUUAGUCCUGCCAUGUUGACGACUUAAGAGAAUUAAUUAAUAACAUCACUCCUCCCUUCAGAAUUGCAAACCCAUUGAGAAAAAAGACAGGCUUCAGCUAAGUAUCAAAGUUACCAGAUUUUUUUGCAGGUUGAGCUGGAUCAGAGGCUGGGUCCCUCAACACCACGGACCUGCAGUCAGCAUCAUGGGAGGACCAGCUCCAAGAAGUGACGAGCAAGGCCCCAGACCCCCCACCACCGUCUCUUCUCAGAGAGCAGCAGUGCACCGUGUACCCCGCUUCCACCCCCUCGUGAUCUCAUCAGAGCCUCGUGAACAACCACCGAGGCAAGCCGGAUACAGCAGGGUCUGGGCGCUUCCACAGAGAACACCAAGGGUCACGGAGCUUAAGGGCUUACCCAAGAAACCAGGGCCAGCGAGGGACAGACUACAGAUUGGCAAUCCAAGGGCUGGCCUUUAGUUUUUGGUACAGUGACAAAAGGACUUGAGCAUUCAUUCAAAUAAAGUUUUGCUUAGAUA